GUAAGUUCUAUUUUCUUUUGUGAGAGUGGGAAAAUUAUUCACUUAUUCUCUGUAAUUCAGGACGUUCGUAAAAUAGCAACACCGGUACCACUUUUAAUGAGAAUUUUGGGGCAUUGUAUUAAAAAUGUAGAGGCAGCAAGAUAUUGAUAAUGGACUACACAACUAUUGGAGAAUGAUUUAUAGCAGAUAUCAUGAAGAUAACAUCUUUUUGCAGCAGAGAAAGAAAGAAAAAGAUGAUGUGAGAUCAACUUUAGGAGCAUGGAUGCAGGCAGCCAGUUGUUGCUGAAAACUGUCACUCUUCCAGCUUUGAGUGCUCUGAGUACUCAAGGGCAUGUGGGAAACGAAGGACUCAGUAAGGAUCAGCAGAGAGAGGCAUUUGAGUGCACCAGAAGUUUUUUAACAUGUGCUGAGAAUGGAGAACGUCUGAGUAGUAACAGCUUUUGUAGUGGUGUAGCAUUCUCCUGCUCCAGAACCCUGCACGCUCAGUUCUUCCAGUCCACAGAGCUCCCGCUGAUUUUAUAGAAGAUGAGAGUCCUCAAAGCUGCCUCAUAGGUGCUGCAAAGGAUGUGGAUGGCUUGUCCUUCUCCAGGAUGUGGGGAGAAGCAGAGCAUUAUUUGUCUCUCUCCAUUUUAUCAUUAAACAAGAAUCAGC
rnacentral:lncRNA from 1 species